rnacentral:rRNA from 1 species
GACGAACGCUGGCGGCGCGCUUAACACAUGCAAGUCGAGCGAUGAAACUUUAACAGAACCCUUCGGGGCGAAGAUAAAGUGGAUUAGCGGCGGACGGGUGAGUAACACGUGAGUAACCUGCCUUAGACAUUGGGAUAGCCUCGGGAAACCGGGAUUAAUACCAAAUAAAAUCAUAAUGACACAUGUCAUAACGAUCAAAACUCCGGUGGUCUAAGAUGGACUCGCGUCCCAUUAGCUAGUUGGUAGAGUAAAAGCCUACCAAGGCGACGAUGGGUAGCCGGACGGUGAAGGGGGACCGUCAAACUGGGAAUGGGAAAAGGGUCCAACUCCCGACGGGAGUAGGAGGUGGGGAACAUGGAGCAGGGGGGGGAUGCUGAAGCCGCGCGUGCGGGGUGACGAAAAACGGUUUGGAAGCCGAAAGUUCCUUUAAAAGGGAAGGAGAGGAAGGGACCAGUAGAAAAAGCCCCGGUCAAACUGCG